AAAUGCGAUAAGUAAUGUGAAUUGCAGAAUUCAGUGAAUCAUCGAAUCUUUGAACGCACCUUGCGCUCCUUGGUAUUCCUUGGAGCAUGCCUGUUUGAGUAUCAUGAAAUCUUCAAAGUAAAUCUUUUGUUAACUCAAUUGGUUUCUACUUUGGUAUUGGAGGUCUUUGCAGCUUCACACCUGCUCCUCUUUGUUCAUUAGCUGGAUCUCAGUGUUAUGCUUGGUUCCACUCGGCGUGAUAAGUUAUCUAUCGCUGAGGACACUGUAAAAGGUGGCCAAGGUAAAUGCAGAUGAACCGCUUCUAAUAGUCCAUUGACUUGGACAAUACUUUUAUGAUCUGAUCUCAAAUCAGGUAGGACUUCCCGCUGAACUUAAGC
rnacentral:misc_RNA from 1 species